rnacentral:rRNA from 1 species
AACGCGAAGAACCUUACCAACCCUUGACAUCCUCAGCUACAUCCAGAGAUGGAUGGUUCACUUCGGUGACUGAGUGACAGGUGCUGCAUGGCUGUCGUCAGCUCGUGUCGUGAGAUGUUCGGUUAAGUCCGGCAACGAGCGCAACCCACAUCCCUAGUUGCCAGCAGGUCAAGCUGGGCACUCUAUGGAAACUGCCCGUGAUAAGCGGGAGGAAGGUGUGGAUGACGUCAAGUCCUCAUGGCCCUUACGGGUUGGGCUACACACGUGCUACAAUGGCAGUGACAAUGGGUUAAUCCCAAAAAACUGUCUCAGUUCGGAUUGUCGUCUGCAACUCGACGGCAUGAAGUCGGAAUCGCUAGUAAUCGCGUAACAGCAUGACGCGGUGAAUACGUUCCCGGGUCUUGUACACACGC